GCCAGACUCCUACGGGAGGCAGCAGUGGGGGAUAUUGCACAAUGGGGGGAACCCUGAUGCAGCGACGCCGCGUGGGUGAAGAAGCGCCUCGGCGCGUAAAGCCCUGUCAGCAGGGAAGAAAAUGACGGUACCUGACUAAGAAGCCCCGGCUAACUACGUGCCAGCAGCCGCGGUAAUACGUAGGGGGCAAGCGUUAUCCGGAUUUACUGGGUGUAAAGGGAGCGUAGACGGCGAAGCAAGUCUGAAGUGAAAACCCAGGGCUCAACCCUGGGACUGCUUUGGAAACUGUUUUGCUAGAGUGUCGGAGAGGUAAGUGGAAUUCCUAGUGUAGCGGUGAAAUGCGUAGAUAUUAGGAGGAACACCAGUGGCGAAGGCGGCUUACUGGACGAUAACUGACGUUGAGGCUCGAAAGCGUGGGGAGCAAACAGGAUUAGAUACCCUUGUAAUG
rnacentral:rRNA from 1 species